CCCCUCUCAGAUGGCACCUGGAGAGUUUCCAAUACUCUACCUGUCUUGAUUAUGGGAGGGAGAGUCAGGCAGAGGCAUGCCCAUUCCAUUCCUAGCUUGGACAGUGGCUAGCGAGUGGAAGGCAAUCUGUUUCAAGU